CAGUAGCCGCGGUAAUACGAAGGGUGCAAGCGUUAAUCGGAAUUACUGGGCGUAAAGCGUGCGUAGGCGGUGAGUUAAGUCUGCUGUGAAAUCCCCGGGCUCAACCUGGGAACUGCAUUUGUGACUGUAUAGCUAGAGUACGGCAGAGGGGGAUGGAAUUCCGCGUGUAGCAGUGAAAUGCGUAGAUAUGCGGAGGAACACCGAUGGCGAAGGCAAUCCCCUGGGCCUGUACUGACGCUCAUGCACGAAAGCGUGGGGAGCAAACAGGAUUAGAUACCCCUGUAGUCCCUGUCUCUUAUAC
rnacentral:rRNA from 1 species